GACGAACGCUGGCGGCGUGCCUAAUACAUGCAAGUAGAACGCUGAAGAGAGGAGCUUGCUCUUCUUGGAUGAGUUGCGAACGGGUGAGUAACGCGUAGGUAACCUGCCUUGUAGCGGGGGAUAACUAUUGGAAACGAUAGCUAAUACCGCAUAACAAUAGGUGACACAUGUCAUUUAUUUGAAAGGGGCAAUUGCUCCACUACAAGAUGGACCUGCGUUGUAUUAGCUAGUAGGUGAGGUAACGGCUCACCUAGGCGACGAUACAUAGCCGACCUGAGAGGGUGAUCGGCCACACUGGGACUGAGACACGGCCCAGACUCCUACGGGAGGCAGCAGUAGGGAAUCUUCGGCAAUGGGGGCAACCCUGACCGAGCAACGCCGCGUGAGUGAAGAAGGUUUUCGGAUCGUAAAGCUCUGUUGUAAGUCAAGAACGAGUGUGAGAGUGGAAAGUUCACACUGUGACGGUAGCUUACCAGAAAGGGACGGCUAACUACGUGCCAGCAGCCGCGGUAAUACGUAGGUCCCGAGCGUUGUCCGGAUUUAUUGGGCGUAAAGCGAGCGCAGGCGGUUUGAUAAGUCUGAAGUUAAAGGCUGUGGCUCAACCAUAGUUCGCUUUGGAAACUGUCAAACUUGAGUGCAGAAGGGGAGAGUGGAAUUCCAUGUGUAGCGGUGAAAUGCGUAGAUAUAUGGAGGAACACCGGUGGCGAAAGCGGCUCUCUGGUCUGUAACUGACGCUGAGGCUCGAAAGCGUGGGGAGCGAACAGGAUUAGAUACCCUGGUAGUCCACGCCGUAAACGAUGAGUGCUAGGUGUUGGAUCCUUUCCGGGAUUCAGUGCCGCAGCUAACGCAUUAAGCACUCCGCCUGGGGAGUACGACCGCAAGGUUGAAACUCAAAGGAAUUGACGGGGGCCCGCACAAGCGGUGGAGCAUGUGGUUUAAUUCGAAGCAACGCGAAGAACCUUACCAGGUCUUGACAUCCCGAUGCUAUUUCUAGAGAUAGAAAGUUACUUCGGUACAUCGGUGACAGGUGGUGCAUGGUUGUCGUCAGCUCGUGUCGUGAGAUGUUGGGUUAAGUCCCGCAACGAGCGCAACCCCUAUUGUUAGUUGCCAUCAUUCAGUUGGGCACUCUAGCGAGACUGCCGGUAAUAAACCGGAGGAAGGUGGGGAUGACGUCAAAUCAUCAUGCCCCUUAUGACCUGGGCUACACACGUGCUACAAUGGUUGGUACAACGAGUUGCGAGUCGGUGACAGCAAGCUAAUCUCUUAAAGCCAAUCUCAGUUCGGAUUGUAGGCUGCAACUCGCCUACAUGAAGUCGGAAUCGCUAGUAAUCGCGGAUCAGCACGCCGCGGUGAAUACGUUCCCGGGCCU
rnacentral:rRNA from 1 species